rnacentral:lncRNA from 1 species
GCACCGCGCGGGGAGCGCGCCGGGGUGCGAGCGGUGCGCGCUCCGAGUGGCCGGGACGCGCGCCAGUCCUGGGAGCUUGCACUGCUCGGGGGGGUUACGUGGAGACUUGCGUGGUGUCCUUUACCGCCGCCGCCUGCCCUCCGGUCCCUGGGCGCUGUGGCUCCGCGUUAGGGUGCUGGCGGGAGGGGUGCCGAUCCGGUUCUGCGCGUCCGGUGGGUUCUCCGGGCCAGCGCCCCGCGGCGCCCGGGCUUUAUGCUGUAAUUGCGCCCGGCGGCGCCCGGCGCCCGCACCGGCGCGCGUCUCGCCCGUGCCGUGCACACGCCCUGCACCGCCCCACUUUGCACACGCACACGCACACGAGUCCUUGGGGCCCUGGAGCAUCGUGCUCGCCUCGCGCCUCCCGGCCCGCCCUUGCGCUCAGUCGCUCCCCAGGGAGCGCCCAGCUGCGAGCAAAACAAGCCUCGCUGCGAAACAGUCCCCCGGGGAGACAGCCCUUUCCCCGGAGCACAGACACCACACCUUCACCGCGCAAGCCUUCGGUCCGGGCCGAACCCGGGCGCUCCGGCGCCUACGCACCCCACGAUUCCUCCCCGGUGCUCCGUACGCCGCCGUGAUCCUCCAUUCCACGGCUCCUCGAUAUCCAUUAUUCAUUAGUGGUAGGUAAGGUCAGGCGCAAUGUGCAAUUCGAAAAGUCCCUUUUUAACUUUCGGUUCAAGCCAGGAGAAGAUUUUGAAACCAAGAAUUUUCUCCAUUUUCAUGCAAGGUCGCAGAAGCAGGCUAGCUUUUCCCCCAUCGUUCAGUGGAGGAUCAGCAGUGCUACUUGGAAGUUGGUAUUGGAAGAGGCCAUUCCCUGUCUACGUGUCCCUGUCUUGAAGAGGAGAUAAUAACACACUAGUACUUUCGCAAUGCAAUUUUGUUACCGCAAGUGUCAUGCUUUGAAACGACUGUGGAUGAAAGAGACAAAUUCCCCGCUCUCGUUUCCCUUCAGGGUCCCAUGAGCUCCUUUCUUCUUACUGCCAUAUUUUAAGCCCUCCGGUAGUCAGAUUCACAACCAGCCUCUAAAGGGUCGUCAAAUGUCUGUUGUAUCGUGUUGUGUAUUUCCCCUCCCGAGAACCCACAUCCCUUAGAAGGAUCUGAAGGCAGAGGGAGCUGACAUGGAGGCUUCUGCCUUGUCUAUUCAUUUUAUUUACGUUCAUUUAAUUCUCGACUGCAGAGAACCUACAUCUUUUGUAUUUCUCAAAGGUAGAGGUAUUAUCACAUGCUCCAGAAGGGAGUGCAAAAUAACAUCUUCAAAAUAGGCAGCGCCCACGAAGUAGACUGCUGCUACAUAAAUGAGGAAUCCAGGUAUCUGGGUGGACCAGAGUGGACCAAUCAUUGUGAUAAGCAGAGCUUCACUUUUUGGAAAAUUGAACCAAAAUACAUUAUUUAGCAUUGUCUUUGGUUCCCUUUCUUAUCCCCCUCCCUCAGUUUAAUCAGGCAAAAAUCGUCCUCUUCUCCAAUGAUAUUAGACUCUGAGCACCGAGAAAAGGCAGAACUAUAGAGACUAUAUGUUCUGAACCCCAAACUGGACUCAUAGUUUGGCAUGUGGACCUGUGACAGUAGAGAUAAUGUUUGAAACUAAAGUUGACCCAGAAACAUUGAGGCAUAUGGUGGCCAUGAAUGUUAAGACUGCAGAGCAGUGUCACUUAUUAGUGGUUGUUUGAACUGAUAAAGUAUGAGUAGGAACCCCAGGCACAACUGUAAAAAUGGGUACGUUCAUGUUUCGGGUUGGUCAUCCUGUUAUCAGCCCUGCCACCACCACCUUAUAACUAAGGUAUAAGUUGAUCAUCUAUAGGGCUGGGCAUGGUGGCUCACGCCUGUAAUCCCAGCACUUUGGGAGGCCAAGGCAGACGGAUCAGGAGGUCAGGAGAUGGAGACCAUGCUGGCUAACAUGGUGACAUCUCUACUAAAAAUACAAAAAAUUAGCCAGGCAUGGUGGCGGGCGCCUGUAGUCUCAGCUACCUGGGAGGUUGAGGCAGGAGAA